rnacentral:rRNA from 1 species
UACGUAGGGUGCAAGCGUUGUCCGGAAUUAUUGGGCGUAAAGAGCUCGUAGGCGGUCUGUCGCGUCGAAUGUGAAAACCCGGGGCUCAACCCCGGGCCUGCAUUCGAUACGGGCAGACUAGGGUUCGGUAGGGGAGUCUGGAAUUCCUGGUGUAGCGGUGAAAUGCGCAGAUAUCAGGAGGAACACCGGUGGCGAAGGCGGGACUCUGGGCCGAUACUGACGCUGAGGAGCGAAAGCGUGGGGAGCAAACAGG